AACGCUGGUCGGUAUGCUUAACACAUGCAAGUCGAAACGUUUCUUCGGAAACAAGUAGAGUGGCGGACGGGUGAGUAACGCGUAGGAAUCUGCCUAGUAGUGGGGGACAACUUAGGGAAACUUAAGCUAAUACCGCAUACGCCCUACGGGGGAAAGCAGGGGAUCUUCGGACCUUGCGCUAUUAGAUGAGCCUGCGUCGGAUUAGCUAGUUGGUAGGGUAAAGGCCUACCAAGGCAACGAUCCGUAGCUGGUUUCAGAGGACGAUCAGCCCCAGUGUGACUGAGACACGGCCCAGACUCCUACGGGAGGCAGCAGUGGGGAAUAUUGGACAAUGGGCGCAAGCCUGAUCCAGCAAUACCGCGUGUGUGAAGAAGGCCUGCGGGUUGUAAAGCACUUUCAAUAGAGAAGAAAAGGGAAGUUUAAUACGCUUGGGUCUUGACUUAACCUAUACAAGAAGCACCGGCUAACUCCGUGCCAGCAGCCGCGGUAAUACGGAGGGUGCAAGCGUUAAUCGGAAUUACUGGGCGUAAAGCGUACGUAGGUGGCCUAUCAAGUCAGAUGUGAAAGCCCCGGGCUCAACCUGGGAACUGCAUUUGAAACUGAUUAGCUAGAGUAUAGUAGAGGAUAGUGGAAUUCCGGGUGUAGCGGUGAAAUGCGUAGAGAUCCGGAGGAACACCAGUGGCGAAGGCGGCUAUCUGGACUAAUACUGACACUGAGGUACGAAAGCGUGGGUAGCAAACAGGAUUAGAUACCCUGGUAGUCCACGCCGUAAACGAUGAGAACUAGCCGUUGGGAAUCCUUGAGGUCUGGGUGGCGCAGCUAACGCAUUAAGUUGACCGCCUGGGGAGUACGGCCGCAAGGUUAAAACUCAAAUGAAUUGACGGGGGCCCGCACAAGCGGUGGAGCAUGUGGUUUAAUUCGAUGCAACGCGAAGAACCUUACCUACUCUUGACAUCCACAGAAUUUAGCAGAGAUGCUUUAGUGCCUUCGGGAACUGUGAGACAGGUGCUGCAUGGCUGUCGUCAGCUCGUGUUGUGAAAUGUUGGGUUAAGUCCCGCAACGAGCGCAACCCCUAUCCUUAGUUGCCAGCACGUAAUGUGGGAACUCUAAGGAGACUGCCGGUGACAAACCGGAGGAAGGUGGGGACUACGUCAAGUCAUCAUGGCCCUUACGACCUGGGCUACACACGUGCUACAAUGGUCGGUACAGAGGGUUGCCAAGCCGCGAGGUGGAGCCAAUCCCAGAAAACCGGUCGUAGUCCGGAUUGGAGUCUGCAACUCGACUCCAUGAAGUCGGAAUCGCUAGUAAUCGCGAAUCAGAAUGUCGCGGUGAAUACGUUCCCGGGCCUUGUACACACCGCCCGUCACACCAUGGGAGUAGGUUGCAAAAGAAGUGGGUAGACUAACCUUCGGGAGGUCGCUCACCACUUUGUGAUUCAUGACUGGGG
rnacentral:rRNA from 1 species